rnacentral:rRNA from 1 species
AAUCAACGCUGGCGGCGUGCCUCAGACAUGCAAGUCGAACGAUUAAAGCUCUCUUCGGAGAGUGCAUAAAGUGGCGCACGGGUGAGUAACACGUAAGUAAUCUACCUUCGAGUGGGGAAUAACGUCCGGAAACGGACGCUAAUACCGCAUAAUGCAGCGGCAUCGCAAGAUGACAGUUGUUAAAGGAGCAAUUCGCUUGAAGAGGAGCUUGCGGCAGAUUAGCUAGUUGGUAAGGUAACGGCUUACCAAGGCUACGAUCUGUAACCGGUCUAAGAGGACGGUCGGUCACACUGACACUGAAUAACGGGUCAGACUCCUACGGGAGGCAGCAGUCGGGAAUUUUGGGCAAUGGGCGAAAGCCUGACCCAGCAACCGCCGCGUGAAGG